rnacentral:lncRNA from 1 species
GCCAGAUUAGCAAGACACGCGCACACACUCUACGUUUAAGUCACACCCUGCAAUGCAGAGAAAAUAUUUCAAUAGGCAUCUGCAGGCGGCCGAGAAGAACUGGAGCAAUGAUUAUUUUCCUCCUUUUUUGAUUUUCUGUUUCUAAAGAAAGCACUGGUAUCAAGGACGAGUUAGGUAAUGCGUAUUAAAAGGCAAGCAGGUCGCUCUCGUUUACGCCCAAUCAUAGUUCAUAGUUCAAGGAAAACUGCCUUUAAUUGACACCGUGUAUAUUCCUCUGCUCCUCUCAGGCUGCCCUGGCAGGGACGCCCCAAGAGUAUUUAUUUCUAGGGUUGGAAACAAAACAACCAACCCCGUCUACUGCGUAAGAGAGCGUUCCAAGAUGGACUGCCGGAGAAAGGCUUUUUGACCCCUGUGGAAAUUAGUCAUAUUGACAGACGCCCAGGGAAGGUAAAUUACCCCGCGCGCUGACGUUACGCAGAGGCGCACCGGGUUCCGACUCCACCGCGGCGCCGAGGGGGCCAGAGGCUCCCAGUUCUUCCCCGCAUAGUUCGACAAAGCCCUACUUUGCUUCCCUGGGUCUGGGAUCUCAACGUGAAGGGGGCCGAGAGAGCGGUGAUAAGGUGCUAGAAAGGAAACGGCAAGAGGAAACUAAAAAAGUGGAGAGAAAUUUUGUGCGCCGUAGUGCUUAGCAAGCUGGGGAAACGAGGAGAAAACGAGCAAAGUCUACAGGGGAGGGAGAGAGGGAGGAGGCAGGGAAGGAGAGGACCACGAGGCUCCCGGCGCCCAGGCCGCCACUUGGGAGGUCCCGGCCCCAAAGCAGGCCGGGCCAACCGUCCCCCCGGGAGGCUCGGGGCUCGGGCGGGGUCACAAUUACACCUCGGCUCCAGGCGAGGACUUAAAAACCAAGUGGUGGGGACUGCAGUCUGGAAGCAAGGCCCUGCGGUCAUCGGAGGGGGGCCAGGCCCGUGCACAGGAACCUUUUACAAGGCAUGUGGGUACAAGAAAAAAAAUCAAAAUAAACCACUUUCAUCCAGCAUGGGCAGUGAAAAGAAAAGCUGCCUUCCAGAGGGGGCGAGCGGGAGUUUUGAAAUUCAUUGUGUGUUUUGCCUUUAUAUAAGGAGUUUUGCGUUUUUUACCGAUAACCAAAGGGGGACACUAGGGGGAAGUAACUGCUAUUUUUUUUUUCUGGAGAGGGCUGAAAUAAGGGGUUCACCGGUUCUUUCACAAUCAGAUGGUGUCCCAGGACUGCAAGUAACUGCGUACAUCCACACAGCGCAUUACACCAACCUGAGAAGAAUCCUUGCGUGACCGGAUUGUUUCUGAACCUGCCGAGCCCCUGCUGCAUCUGGGACCCGCCUUCACCGUUUCCCAAUCCCAGCGGUUAGCCCCUGCGCCCCCUUUUUGGUCUCCACUUUGCCGUUCGAAAAUGCCUAGGUUGGUGGAUCGACCCUCCGCGGAGCAAAGACGGAUGGCUGGCAGGAGCAGGUUCAGGAGCUGGGCCAAGUUUCACACGAAGAGACUUGGAGUAUCUGGAGAAGGUUUUUGAAGACGUUUAGGAGGGAGGGUGAGUUUUCUGCUGAGAAACUCAAUCUGCCAUACAGUAGCGGCCCCAUCUGGGAUCUGUCACUGCUGACAGCACCAGAGGGCACAGCCGUGAUCUUCUGCACAGCCUGCACUCCCCGAAAUACCCUCCUUAAUCAAAGGAUGUCUGCGCGCCUGAGCUCAGCUGACCGCGCCGGGAGCACCAGGGCCGUUGGAUUCCACCCCAGCCCGCCCCCUCCCCACGCACACAGCCACGGCCCCUCGCGUCUUCGCGGCACGUUAAUUAAAUGCGGAAAACAGACAGAGGCUGAUGUCAUUGCUCUCACAAGAUCAUAAACGUAAAAGAGUCAUCCUGUGAGAAUCCCUGAAAAUGACUUUAAUGAAUAAUUUCAGAGACAGUUAUGACUUUGGGUGAUUACUGAGCAAGAAUAUGAAAACCAGAUUUGCAAAGCGAAGGCGAUGGUCAAAAGGCCUGGCAGUUACUUUCUCUCAUUAAAACCGCACCGGCUUUCCUUCUUCGCCAAGUACUAGUUACCAACUGAGGUUGCGUUUUCAGGUUUUCUUCUUCAAAAUAACAGUCUUCUUUUCCUGCUUUUCUGCCUUAUCCUAAAGACAAAAUGUCAGCUCCAGGGAACGACAUUAACAACCCACUUUAAAUUGAAGGCAACUCUGCACUGGCGUCAGUGGCCAUUGGCUUCCAUCUUUUUACAAAGGUUGGAUUUACUGCCAUCUUAGGAUCAUAUCUCUUUUGGCCUCUUCUCUAGGCAAUGUAUUUAAUGAAGGUUGAACAUUCUCACUGACCCUGAGUCAGUGCACUGUUUGUUGUAAAGGAUCUCAGCUGGUGGGGCAAAAAACAAGUUCCAAACAACCUGCCUUUACAGAAGAGUCUCCCUGACUCUUUAGUUCUAGGUCACCAAUGAACUGAAAAAUGAUUUGGUGCUACAUUAAGGAAUAUUUUCAAACACUCCAUCUGGCCAUGGAGAAGCAUCCAGUUGGUUAUAUCUGGUUGCUCAUGCAUUAAAAAUACUAUUUGAGAAAACAACUAGGGUGUUAGUUGUGGAAGUGGCCUGGUGAGUACCCUCUGAUCUUUUGCACGAAGUUUAGCUGCCUGCAAGUCUGUCUUCUUUGCUUGAAAAUAUAAACUGGGACUCUCUGGGCCUGUGUCCCAUGUGGAUUUAUUCCACUUAAUUCAAGUAAAAGUUUGUUUAUACUCUGAGCAAGAAAGUAUUAUAGGCACAAGUGAUGUGGAGUUUUCAGUUUGCUUGUUUUUUGCUGUUGUUUGUUUGCUUUUGAGCGAUCUGAGUGAUUUAGAAAACUAAUGUGUCUCAGUCGGCUCCACCAUUCAGACAGAUCAUAGAGAACCCACUUACCAGCACUCUAGAAAACUGUACUUUGUGCAGACAUUGCCUGAUCCUCCCCUUUCUAGAAGCACAGAUAGGCCAGAAUCCUUCAGUCACUGAGGACACAAUUGUCUAAAAGCCUCAUUCCCUAUCAUUAGCCCCCAAACCGCAGAGCUGUUUCCUUCCCUCUUGGCUCCAGAUAGGGGUGGGUGGGAGAGGGGACUAGGCUCUCCAUGUGACAUUUCCCUGACUUGAGAGGAAAUGUUUCUUUCUGAUUCUAGAUUACAUGAAGACACUUUGGAGUUGGUGUAUAGGGUUUCCUCAAAGAACUGAGGUAACGUGGACUUUAGGGAAUUUUCCUCAAUUGGAUUCCCUGUUUAUUUGUGAUACUAUUUGUGUCCCCCAAAUAGAUCUUCUUGUUGCUCCACUCACAUCAUGAGCAGUUUUCCUUUUCCUCUAGUUACAUUCACUCUAGCUUCUGACUGAAGACUCUGCUUGCCCUUUGUAGCCCGUGCAGGAAUAAACAGCAUCUUCUGGAUUUGCUUUGAAUCCUUGUGCUGCCCAAUGAGUCAGAGGUGUAGGGUUGAUCCAAUAAUAUGGCUAAUUCUCUCCCUGUAAAGACUUUAAAUAAUGUAGGCCUCUCUUCACCCAUCCCCCAUUCUCACCAUCCUGGACUUCACGCGGGUCAUGGAGAAGGUGUCCAGGGUGGGAGGCACGCUGGGUGGGUGUGGCCUCCUUUGGCACAGUGGUUCGGCAUCCUCUGGGGGAGAUUUUGAAAACUGCAGGCUCCGCGUCGAGCCCCUGACCUGCUGAAUCAGAAUUUCUGGUGAAGGUAGGGUGAAAACGGGGCUGAAUUUGUCAUUGUAUCAAGUUGUCCGGGGAGUGGAAAGUCCAGGUGUUGGAUUAAUCCCAGCACCCCUUACUUCAGAAGAGACCAGGCUAUCCCGCAGAACGCUAGGGUCAGAGGUCUGGGGCAUCAGUCAGCCCGUCCAGGAAUUAUGCAAAUAUAUGCAGCCUCUACUCUGAACACUGGGACGUAGUAGGGGACAAAGCUGCCGCCAGCCGUCCUCGUCCUUGCGAGGUGUCAGUGUUUGCGCCAGGGACAACUCCCUGGAGGGCUGGGGGAAGGGAGGGGCAAAAGAGGGUCCAGGGCCUCAGCUCGCUAUGUACUUUAGGGUUUAAUAACAGGUGCAAAGGCAGCUGCUAAAAGACAUCGCAUUCUGUAAUCAGCUUCUGCCAGGCUGUCCGGCUAAACAGAAACUCCCACAAUUUUGGCCCGAGGGCUGUAGGGCGGAGCGGGUGCCAGUGAGAUGAGGGCAACCCUAAGAGGUGGCAUAAGAGCCUUACCCCUAAGAGCCACCCCAACCCCAUCCGGGGCUUGCACCGGCACCGCCUGGGCCGCAGUUGUUGCCUCAGGGAAGCUUCGCCCUGGCGCAGGGAUAGAGCAAAGAAGCGACCGCAUGUGGAAGGCUUUCCAGGCGGAAUGCUCCAGCCGUAGCGAGUUGGAAAAUUUAGAGUGGGGAGGGGGCAGUAGAGAUGUUAACUGGCCCCUCCUCACCCCAAACAAGGAAAACACAGUCUUCUGGGCUAAAAAUACAUAUUUAUGAAGUCCCUAUACGCAGGCAGGCGGCGCGUUCCAGCUGCCGGCCUGGCCCAGGGAGGACUUGGCCGCGCGGCCGCCGAUUACACCCAACUCGGCUGGGAUGGCUCCGAGCCGUCUGCCCUGACGUCAGCGAGGCUCCGGCCCCGCCGCGGCAAGAUAGGCGAGCGCGGCCGGGCGCGGGUGCGGCACUAAUCACUCCCAGAUGUCCCUAAUAGCGGAGAUAAAGACGGACAGAGCGGCCGGGAAUAAAUUUGUAAUCAGGGCUCUACCAUCUGAUCAUCAAAGCGGCCCAAAUGCCGGGAGAAUUUGAAGGGAAUGCGUGUGAGGGGGGUCGCUUGGGGGAAGAGCGAUCCGCAGGCUCUGACAGGCCAGGAGUCGCGCGCGUCCGGGAGACUCCUUAGCGCCCCCUCCUCACGUGGAGAUCUGGACUCUCAGGAGCUGGGCCCAAUGGAAGGAAUGGGUACCCUUGGGUCACCAGGGUCCAGAUUCGGCCCUCUACGGCGCCCAUGCCACAAGCCUCCCUCAAGACCAUCUCUGCUUGGCACCCACUAGCCAGCUCCUUUUCCAAAUCUAGGAGCCUGGGUGGGACUCACAGGCAGGGAGAACUCAAGGCGGCUGUGGAAAACAAAAUCGCGUGCCGCCCGCGCAAUAUUUGAUUAAAGCUUCAGGGCUAACUGAGCGGUUUCUUGCGCUUUGCAGGCCCGCAGUGUAUGUUCAGUCCCAGUUUUCCUGGCACCCUUUGCCCUGCUUAUGUCCCCUGCACACACCUCAGGCCCUUGCAACUGGCCCGGGUUCUCUCUGCAAAUCUGUAGUCUGGGAAGGAACUCCCGGGUCUCGUACUCCCUGCCGCUUUGCAUUUGAGCUCUCACCUUCCUCACCCCUUCCUGCGAAUUCCAGGUGCGCUUACCUCUCUUGUUCUCCUGCUACUUCACCAAUCCGAGCGGGAGACUAGCUCUGCAAUUCACGCCAAGCUGGGGCAGCGGCUAGCAGAGUCUGGUCGAAGGAAUUGAACCACCUUCCACUCCCGACACACGCACAAGUGCUAAGAGGCCCCCAGGCUGCGCUCCCUGGCACGGCUGCUACGCUCACCUCAUCACGACCAAGCAGCCUGGUGCUCCUACACCUAAGGAGGCAACCCAGACCCAGAGGUCCACCCUUCCUAGAUGCCUGGGCCUGCUGGCUAACCCAUCCCGAAAGCUGGAGCUUGCUGUCUCGGCCUGGAAAAGCCCUUUAAGUUGCUGUCAGUGCCCAGGCAAUUGGGAGCGGGGCCCCCACUCUGCAGUUUUUCAAAUUGCUUCCCAAGCUGAGAAGGGGUUUGCGCGCGCGCACACACACACACACACACACACACACACACCGUCUACAACUGGCCAAGCCUUUGCCCCUCCGGUGCUCCAGGGUUAUCAGACGCUGGGCCUGCACAGCGGUCUGGGGCAGAGCCCUGACAGCCAGAUCUACCAUCAAUUUACCUUCCGCCGCCGCAGCUUCCCAUUUAGCUUUUAACGUCAAAUCCUACAUUUUUGUCGGCUCCGGCCUGUCUAGAACGCUUGUGAUUUCCCUGCAGGAGUGAUUGCUCUUAACAAAAUGGCAGCAACCACAUUAUCCGAGCAAUUAAAACAGAGGCCUUUUAGCCGGUCCCGCAAGUAGAGGCUUGGAAAAUUUUUUUAAACAAAGAAGAAAAAGUUAAAAGAGAAAUAAGUGUUGGAAGAGAAAAGCAUGGAAGCUCAGAAGAAACGUCUGCCCAGUACGCCUUUCACUUCCUGGGACUUGACAACCUGGGGCGGGGAUGUUGGGUGGCUGAGAGCGGCUGGGGUGACAGAUAAUCUGGGGUGUCCUGCAGGUUGAAGCAUCUGGUCAGUUGGGGUGUGCGUCUGGUUAGGGGGUUCAGCCGCCUGCAGUGUCAGGCAGCUGGGCAUUCUGCCGUCUGGGGUGUCCGGUCUGCUGGGUGUCUGGCUGGUUAGGGUUUCUGGCGAGUUGAAAUGGCAGGGCGGGUGGGGUGACCAGGCCUAGUGUUGCUGGCCCUGAGGAAGAGGAGGCAGGCUGUGCUUGGCCGGGGCCAAAGAGGAGCGCAGGUUUAAAAAGCAAGUGUAUUAGCAAGUUUCUCCGUAGCAAUGGUGCGCCAGGGUCUUUUGGUUUCCCUCUGUUGUUGUUUAAUAAGCCAGAGAAAGUGUUAAAUCUGCAGAAGUGCCUUAAGGCCCAGAUGGCGGAGACCAGCUACACAAGGUGCAGAGAAGCGUAGGUGCAUGGUGAAGAUAACUCCUCUCCGUUUCCUGUUUUUAAAACCUCACCUCCUCCGCCACUGUUUACUCCAACACUUUGGUAGGCUCCUUUCUUCCACGUCUAGGACCUGAUGGCUUUCUCCUGAGCAGAUUAAAAUAAAGACGCGGAAGACAACUGGAAUCAGGAGAGGGAGGGAACCACUGGAUCAAACGCAGGAGGAUUGGGAGAGCAACAGAAAAUCAGGGCGCGCCUCCCCCACACCUCCUCCCCAUGCUAUAAACAAAGGCAAGUGUCUGUAAACACAGCCCCGCGCCCACCAGGUCGGCCCAGCGCCGGCUGACCCAAGGGGAGAAAGUUCAGAUCGCUUUGGCCGAGUUGUUCUAACCCCUCGCCCUCGCGUUGUCAGCCGCCCGCAGAAGUCCGCAGAGCCUCUAGCUUGUCUCUCCCUGGGCACUUCUGAAUUCGCCCACGCCGGGUCUGAUUCGGCCUGCUGCAGGCAGAGGGGUCAUAGUGGACACCAGCUAGGCGUGGGAACCCUUGGGACAUCGCGGGAGGGUCUGUGCCCGAGGCCAAGUUGCGAACAUCACCCUGAGGAUGGGUUCCAGGAUGGAAACCCUCUGGCAAGCCUCUCCAACACCAGAUUUAUAUACGCGGCGUUCCAUGAAACAAACCACUUUUUAAUACGGUUCA